rnacentral:rRNA from 2 species
GACGAACUCUGGUAUUGAUUGGUGCUUGCAUCAUGAUUUACAUUUGAGUGAGUGGCGAACUGGUGAGUAACACGUGGGAAACCUGCCCAGAAGCGGGGGAUAACACCUGGAAACAGAUGCUAAUACCGCAUAACAACUUGGACCGCAUGGUCCGAGUUUGAAAGAUGGCUUCGGCUAUCACUUUUGGAUGGUCCCGCGGCGUAUUAGCUAGAUGGUGGGGUAACGGCUCACCAUGGCAAUGAUACGUAGCCGACCUGAGAGGGUAAUCGGCCACAUUGGGACUGAGACACGGCCCAAACUCCUACGGGAGGCAGCAGUAGGGAAUCUUCCACAAUGGACGAAAGUCUGAUGGAGCAACGCCGCGUGAGUGAAGAAGGGUUUCGGCUCGUAAAACUCUGUUGUUAAAGAAGAACAUAUCUGAGAGUAACUGUUCAGGUAUUGACGGUAUUUAACCAGAAAGCCACGGCUAACUACGUGCCAGCAGCCGCGGUAAUACGUAGGUGGCAAGCGUUGUCCGGAUUUAUUGGGCGUAAAGCGAGCGCAGGCGGUUUUUUAAGUCUGAUGUGAAAGCCUUCGGCUCAACCGAAGAAGUGCAUCGGAAACUGGGAAACUUGAGUGCAGAAGAGGACAGUGGAACUCCAUGUGUAGCGGUGAAAUGCGUAGAUAUAUGGAAGAACACCAGUGGCGAAGGCGGCUGUCUGGUCUGUAACUGACGCUGAGGCUCGAAAGUAUGGGUAGCAAACAGGAUUAGAUACCCUGGUAGUCCAUACCGUAAACGAUGAAUGCUAAGUGUUGGAGGGUUUCCGCCCUUCAGUGCUGCAGCUAACGCAUUAAGCAUUCCGCCUGGGGAGUACGGCCGCAAGGCUGAAACUCAAAGGAAUUGACGGGGGCCCGCACAAGCGGUGGAGCAUGUGGUUUAAUUCGAAGCUACGCGAAGAACCUUACCAGGUCUUGACAUACUAUGCAAAUCUAAGAGAUUAGACGUUCCCUUCGGGGACAUGGAUACAGGUGGUGCAUGGUUGUCGUCAGCUCGUGUCGUGAGAUGUUGGGUUAAGUCCCGCAACGAGCGCAACCCUUAUUAUCAGUUGCCAGCAUUAAGUUGGGCACUCUGGUGAGACUGCCGGUGACAAACCGGAGGAAGGUGGGGAUGACGUCAAAUCAUCAUGCCCCUUAUGACCUGGGCUACACACGUGCUACAAUGGAUGGUACAACGAGUUGCGAACUCGCGAGAGUAAGCUAAUCUCUUAAAGCCAUUCUCAGUUCGGAUUGUAGGCUGCAACUCGCCUACAUGAAGUCGGAAUCGCUAGUAAUCGCGGAUCAGCAUGCCGCGGUGAAUACGUUCCCGGGCCUUGUACACACCGCCCGUCACACCAUGAGAGUUUGUAACACCCAAAGUCGGUGGGGU